rnacentral:lncRNA from 1 species
GGUGGGGAGUUUGGAAGGAACGCAAUAGAAGGAUCUUCAAGGGGACCGCGGCCACGGCGCUUCAGGUUGCCCACUUUGUUUGGGAGGAGUACCAGGGUAGAAUUAGGGCAUGUUCUUCAGACCCGGGAGAUUAGUUCGCUUGGCCACGCACUUUUCCUUUCUUUUCUUUUCGUUUUUUCUUUGGGGCGACCAAUCUUUGAUCCCCCUCUUGUACAGUACUUUUCCUUAAUCGAAUGACGCGUGUCGACCGUCUUUUCCCUCAAAAAAAAAAUUUAGCUAUGUGCAUUUGGUUAUGCAGAGGUUGAGUGCGAACUAUGUUUGAUGUAUGUGAAUGCUUAGAUCAAUAAAAGCUCUUGUUAUCACUAAAAGAAUAUGUAAGUGUAUCAUCUUCUUUUUUUUUCGUGUUACCAAUGUUAAUUGAUACUCCCUUCGAUUCAUAAUAAUUGUUGCUG